rnacentral:tRNA from 1 species
UAGGGAGACCUACCCAUUGAAGAAUCGAAAGCCGAAGGCGAAUAGAGAAUCAAAUGGUCUACUCUAGGUCGAUGACGUGAGAUUGUGAAGUCUUUCAAACUAAUAUUUGGUUCGCGGGCUAUUAGCUCAGGUGGUUAGAGCGCACCCCUGAUAAGGGUGAGGUCCCUGGUUCGAGUCCAGGAUGGCCCACCUGGGGGUUUAGCUCAGUUGGUAGAGCGCCUGCUUUGCAAGCAGGAUGUCAGCGGUUCGAGUCCGCUAACCUCCACAUUAGGUAUUAUCAGCAACUAGGAAAGACCUAGACUGCUGGUGAGAACCAGCCAGAACCUUGAAAACUGCAUAUAGAUAGAUAAGAGAGCCGAAAUCGAAAGAUAGAAGUAAGUGAAGAACCAAGU